CAGUAGCCGCGGGAAUACGUAGGUGGCAAGCGUUGUCCGGAAUUAUUGGGCGUAAAGCGUGCGCAGGCGGUUUUGUAAGACAGGCGUGAAAUCCCCGGGCUCAACCUGGGAAUGGCGCUUGUGACUGCAAAGCUAGAGUGCGGCAGAGGGGGAUGGAAUUCCGCGUGUAGCAGUGAAAUGCGUAGAUAUGUGGAGGAACACCAGUGGCGAAGGCGACUCUCUGGUCUGUAACUGACGCUGAGGAGCGAAAGCGUGGGGAGCGAACAGGAUUAGAUACCCCCGUAGUCCCUGUCUCUUAUAC
rnacentral:rRNA from 1 species